AUUGAACGCUGGCGGCAUGCUUUACACAUGCAAGUCGAACGGUAACAGGCCACAAGGUGCUGACGAGUGGCGAACGGGUGAGUAAUGCAUCGGAACGUGCCCAGUCGUGGGGGAUAACGCAGCGAAAGCUGUGCUAAUACCGCAUACGAUCUAUGGAUGAAAGCGGGGGACCGUAAGGCCUCGCGCGAUUGGAGCGGCCGAUGUCAGAUUAGGUAGUUGGUGGGGUAAAGGCUCACCAAGCCAACGAUCUGUAGCUGGUCUGAGAGGACGACCAGCCAAACUGGGACUGAGACACGGCCCAGACUCCUACGGGAGGCAGCAGUGGGGAAUUUUGGACAAUGGGCGCAAGCCUGAUCCAGCAAUGCCGCGUGCAGGAAGAAGGCCUUGGGGUUGUAAACUGCUUUUGUACGGAACGAAAAGGUUUGGGUUAAUACCCUGGGCCGAUGACGGUACCGUAAGAAUAAGCACCGGCUAACUACGUGCCAGCAGCCGCGGUAA
rnacentral:rRNA from 1 species